UGGGGAAUAUUGCACAAUGGGCGAAAGCCUGAUGCAGCAACGCCGCGUGAGGGAAGACGGUUUUCGGAUUGUAAACCUCUGUCCUCGGUGAAGAAAAAAAUGACGGUAGCCGAGGAGGAAGCCACGGCUAACUACGUGCCAGCAGCCGCGGUAAUACGUAGGUGGCGAGCGUUGUCCGGAAUUACUGGGUGUAAAGGGAGCGCAGGCGGGAUAGCAAGUCAGCGGUGAAAUACAUGGGCUUAACCCAUGAACUGCCGUUGAAACUGCUGUUCUUGAGUGGAUCAGAGGCAAGUGGAAUUCCGAGUGUAGCGGUGAAAUGCGUAGAUAUUCGGAGGAACACCAGUGGCGAAGGCGACUUGCUGGGGUCUAACUGACGCUGAGGCUCGAAAGUGUGGGGAGCAAACA
rnacentral:rRNA from 1 species